UACGGAGGGAGCUAGCGUUGUUCGGAAUUACUGGGCGUAAAGCGCACGUAGGCGGCUUUGUAAGUUAGAGGUGAAAGCCCGGGGCUCAACCCCGGAAUUGCCUUUAAGACUGCAUCGCUUGAAUCCAGGGAGAGGUGAGUGGAAUUCCGAGUGUAGAGGUGAAAUUCGUAGAUGAUUCGGAAGGAACACCAGUGGCGAAGGCGGCUCACUGGAC
rnacentral:rRNA from 1 species